CAACAUCUUUGUUUUCGUCCCUUUAACUUGACACAGCAAUUUAUAAAUGGACUUACAUUGUACCUCGGUUCUUUUCAUUAAGAAACGUAUCGCUCUAACGUGUAUCACUUUGAUUUCACUUUAACCUCAAGGCACUGAUUAAACAAAAUAUUUUGGUGUUCUGUAUGUUUGUUUGCAUUUUAAGAAAAAAAUUAUAUUUGUUAUUUAAUAUAUGAUACUUGUUAUUUAAUAUGUUAUCUAAUACUUCAGACGUAUUUAAGUGUGACUGAGGAAUCCAAAUAGGACCACUGUUAAUUUUUGUUGUGUGUUAUGGAGAGCCUUGUGUACACUCGAUCAUGAAUUGUGAAGAUUUGUUUUGCAUUGUUUGUGAUUUCUAUUUGUCUUUCUUACAGAUUGGCAAAAGAAUGGUCGAUUUCAGCAGAGAUCCAGCACCUCAUUGGAAAUCUCCUGGAAUUCACUCGAGGAAGAUAAAUGCUCAGGGAUUGAAUGGGACAGUUAUUCAGUCAGAUGCAGUGAUGGAAGCAGUGAUCGUAAGAGCUCAAACUUUCCUGUUGUUUUACCAAUACAGCAUCACUGAAAUUAUCAUCUGCACAUUAUCUGUAAUAAUACUCUAGGGUCUUUUAUGAUAUUAGUAGAGGUAAUAGAUGUUCAGUGUCUAAUUCAGGUAUGUUUUGUCUUUUCAGGUGUGAGCUGUACAAAACUCAGUGGAACUAGUACAGUCUGUAGUAUUACUGGAUUAUUGCCAUAUAAAAAUUAUAGAUGCAGUAUUAUUGGAACAGUCAACCAAAAAGAUUAUGUAAUUUACACUGUUAACAGUGCAACACUUUCUGACAGUAAGUUUAGUUAUUUUUAUUUUAUUUUAUUUUUUCAUAUCUCUUGUCUCGCUGCCAUUCUUCAUUUUGUGGUUAUUUUCUGAAUAUUAAGAUAUUGUCCUUAUCAGCUUUGGAACUUUUUACCCCCAUGCAUUUUCUGUCUAUAAUGUGUAUUGUUGGACUAAAAUAUGUUUUGUUUUGUUUUGUUUCAUUCUGUUUGAUAGAACCCAUUUUUAGACCAAAAAUUAAAGUACAUAACCCUACUCACAAUUCUCUUGAAAUAAAUUGUGAAAACAUUGAACAAGAUAUAGUCUGGAAUGGAGGAAAGGGAACAUUCAAAGCUGAAAUCACAUACAAUGGAGAAACUAUCACUGCAGGUCCAGAGGACAAAUGCUUGUUUACAUUUUCAGAUCUUUACUACCUUGCAACAUAUGAUGUUAAGAUUACAGCCAAGAAUAAAGAAGGACUUUCAGCUUUCAUUACUUCUGAAGCUACUACUAAAUGUAAGAACAACCUUUUCUCAUUCCAGCACAACAAGAGGAGAUGUGUAAUAUUUCAAUUAAGUUCUAUCAUUUUUAUCUGUUCAAUAUACCAUCUCUCCCAAAGUGCUUUAAAGUUGCACUUUGUAUUAGUUUUUAAGCUGGCCUAUAUAUAUGUGUGUGUGUGUGUGUGUGUGUGUGUGUGUGUGUGUGUGUGUGUGUGUGUGUGUGUGUGUGUGUGUGUGUUUUNNNNNNNNNNNNNNNNNUCACAGUAA
ensembl:lncRNA